rnacentral:rRNA from 1 species
UACGUAGGGCGCAAGCGUUAUCCGGAAUUAUUGGGCGUAAAGAGCUCGUAGGCGGUUUGUCGCGUCUGCCGUGAAAGUCCGAGGCUCAACCUCGGGCCUGCAGUGGGUACGGGCAGACGUAGAGUGCGGUAGGGGAGAUUGGAAUUCCUGGUGUAGCGGUGGAAUGCGCAGAUAUCAGGAGGAACACCGAUGGCGAAGGCAGAUCUCUGGGCCGUAACUGACGCUGAGGAGCGAAAGCAUGGGGAGCGAACAGG